rnacentral:rRNA from 1 species
GCUACUUUGCUGACGAGCGGCGGACGGGUGAGUAAUGCUUGGGAACAUGCCUUGAGGUGGGGGACAACAGUUGGAAACGACUGCUAAUACCGCAUAAUGUCUACGGACCAAAGGGGGCUUCGGCUCUCGCCUUUAGAUUGGCCCAAGUGGGAUUAGCUAGUUGGUGAGGUAAUGGCUCACCAAGGCGACGAUCCCUAGCUGGUUUGAGAGGAUGAUCAGCCACACUGGGACUGAGACACGGCCCAGACUCCUACGGGAGGCAGCAGUGGGGAAUAUUGCACAAUGGGCGCAAGCCUGAUGCAGCCAUGCCGCGUGUGUGAAGAAGGCCUUCGGGUUGUAAAGCACUUUCAGUCAGGAGGAAAGGUUAACGGUUAAUACCCGUUAGCUGUGACGUUACUGACAGAAGAAGCACCGGCUAACUCCGUGCCAGCAGCCGCGGUAAUACGGAGGGUGCGAGCGUUAAUCGGAAUUACUGGGCGUAAAGCGUACGCAGGCGGUUUGUUAAGCGAGAUGUGAAAGCCCCGGGCUCAACCUGGGAACUGCAUUUCGAACUGGCAAACUAGAGUGUGAUAGAGGGUGGUAGAAUUUCAGGUGUAGCGGUGAAAUGCGUAGAGAUCUGAAGGAAUACCGAUGGCGAAGGCAGCCACCUGGGUCAACACUGACGCUCAUGUACGAAAGCGUGGGGAGCAAACGGGAUUAGAUACCCCGGUAGUCCACGCCGUAAACGAUGUCUACUAGAAGCUCGGAGCCUCGGUUCUGUUUUUCAAAGCUAACGCAUUAAGUAGACCGCCUGGGGAGUACGGCCGCAAGGUUAAAACUCAAAUGAAUUGACGGGGGCCCGCACAAGCGGUGGAGCAUGUGGUUUAAUUCGAUGCAACGCGAAGAACCUUACCUACACUUGACAUACAGAGAACUU